ensembl:lncRNA
CAAAAGAAGAGUCACUGUGGCUCAACGCCAUAUAAUAUUACACGCUUUUACAUCCCAACCUGUAGUGGAUACCGCCACUAUAGUUUCAGUUCCAUCAGAAUGUUGUGAUGUUCUCAGUAGUCCUUGAUGUAUUAUCCAGCUCCAGUUCAUAAAUGGUUAUCUAAAACUUUUUUUUCUCUCUAUAAUAUUCCCUGAACACAUGUGAAAAUAAAGUACAUACUGUAAUGGGAAGUCCCUCUGCUGGGCACCGGGUCAGAAGUCUUAUACUCCAUGCCUAAAGAGGAAGAAAUAAAUUUAAGUAGCAUAAUUCUGUAUGAAUAACUAAUUACAUUUAAAUAAUUCAUAUAUUUUGAUUAGAAAUAGAACGACUCGUCACUGUGAAUUCAUGAUGGCACAGAAUAUAUGCCUUUUAACCAGUUUGAUACACAGCACAGUAGAAAUUCAACAGCAAUAAAAUCUACAGACUCCAAAAUAAUAUUUCGCAUGUACAGAGUGUAUCCAGACUGUUUUAGACUGCACUGAUCUAAACAGGUGCAUUUAAUGUAAGUCUGUGCCAUAUCAUAUUGACCAUAAUGCCCUCCCCCACAAUAUUGCCCUCCCACAAAGAGACAAGUCCGGGCAUGUCUGAGAGUAGAGUUAGAGCUGGGCGUCCGACUUCGAUGAUGAGUUACACAGAAAAGGGACAGUAGACAGUAGAGCACAGUUCCCAGCAAAGUAUGCAAGAAAACAAGAGGAGGAACUUGCAGCUGGUGAUGUGCGACCCAAUUAAACAAAGAGCCUGGAGUAUUCGCCAGUUGCGGUCCUUCUGAUAAUAGAGGCAAAUGGUGGAUUUAAACAACCAAUUAAAAUAUUCCAUCUAAGAUACAACACCCCAGCUCUUUUCUUGUAGCGGUGUUGGUUUGUCACUUCUUCCACUGGUGUGGCGCUUCCUGGGUUUUCUUUGGCGUCCCUGUUGGCAUCCAUGAUGUUACCCUUAUUUCCUACAUCUUCCAUGAGUGCCUCUGUAAUGGCUGAUGUUCCGGGGAUAGCUCUCUCGGAGAUGAAAUGCCGGUUUGGAAGCACGUAGCGAGGCUCCAAGUGCUCAACCAGACCGCUGACAGGUCUCGCACGCCACAGCCGCUCUAUCACGUGACACAUACUGCUCCGACGUUCUAAGGUUAUGAGCUGAGUUACGCCAUGUCGCAAGUUUUGUGAGGUGCUUUCCUGAUAUUUAAUUGAUCGAUUACAUUUUUUAUUUCUCUCCGAUAUCCGAUCCAGUAAUUUAGGUCAGUAUCGGACUGAUGCGUAAUAUCUGAUAGGUCCAUCCCUACUUUCUACAUUGUAGAUGCAUACUAAAGACAUCAAAUACAUGAAGCAAGAUAUAGGGAAUUAUAGAAAAGAUAUCCAUCCAUCCAUCCAUCCAUGCAUACAUUCUCUUCUGCUUAUCCUUGUUAGGAUUGUGGGGGGGUUGGAGCCCAUCUCAGCUACCAUAGGGUAAGAGGGAGGGUACACCCUGGACAGGUUGCCAGUCUGUCAAAGGGCUAACACAUAGAGACAGACAACCAUUUGAAGGCACACUGAACCAGUAUGUCUACCACGACAAUGACCCCAAACACAUCUCCAGCCUGUGUAAGGGCUAUUUGACCAAGAAGGAGAGUGAUGGAAUGCUGUGCCAGAUGGCCUGGCCUCCACAGUCACCUGAUCUAAACCCAAUCGAAAUGGUUUGGAGUGAGAUGUAUGGCAGAGUGAAGGCAAAAGAGCCUACAAGUGCUCAGCAUCUCUGGGAACUGCUUCAAGACUUUUGGAAAACCAUUUUCUGUUUUAUUAGCUACCUCAUGAAGCUUAUCGAGAGAAUGCCAAGAGUGUGCAAAGCACACUCUUGUUUACUAGAUAAUUCCAUAUGUGUUCAUUCAUAGUUUUGUUAAAAACCUAAUAAUAGUUAAAAACCUGCUAACACUAGCAUACUUUUGUGCUCACAUUGGCUCAGCUUGUAUUUAGC